UACGUAGGGACCAAGCGUUGUUCGGAUUUACUGGGCGUAAAGGGCGCGUAGGCGGCGUGGUAAGUCACUUGUGAAAUCUCUGAGCUUAACUCAGAACGGCCAAGUGAUACUGCUGUGCUAGAGUGCAGAAGGGGCAAUCGGAAUUCUUGGUGUAGCGGUGAAAUGCGUAGAUAUCAAGAGGAACACCUGAGGUGAAGACGGGGUUGCUGGGCUGACACUGACGCUGAUGCGCGAAAGCCAGGGGAGCAAACGGG
rnacentral:rRNA from 1 species